rnacentral:rRNA from 1 species
UACGUAGGGUGCAAGCGUUAAUCGGAAUUACUGGGCGUAAAGCGUACGCAGGCGGCUUUGCAAGACAGGUGUGAAAUCCCCGGGCCUAACCUGGGAACUGCAUUUGUGACUGCAUAGCUAGAGUCUGUCAGAGGGGGGUGGAAUUCCACGUGUAGCAGUGAAAUGCGUAGAGAUGUGGAGGAACACCGAUGGCGAAGGCAAUCCCCUGGGCCUGCACUGACGCUCAUGCACGAAAGCGUGGGGAGCAAACAGG